rnacentral:rRNA from 1 species
AUUGAACGCUGGCGGCAGGCUUAACACAUGCAAGUCGAGCGGGGGAAGGUAGCUUGCUCCCGGACCUAGCGGCGGACGGGUGAGUAAUGCUUAGGAAUCUGCCUAUUAGUGGGGGACAACAUCUCGAAAGGGAUGCUAAUACCGCAUACGUCCUACGGGAGAAAGCAGGGGAUCUUCGGACCUUGCGCUAAUAGAUGAGCCUAAGUCGGAUUAGCUAGUUGGUGGGGUAAAGGCCUACCAAGGCGACGAUCUGUAGCGGGUCUGAGAGGAUGAUCCGCCACACUGGGACUGAGACACGGCCCAGACUCCUACGGGAGGCAGCAGUGGGGAAUAUUGGACAAUGGGGGGAACCCAGAUCCAGCCAUGCCGCGUGUGUGAAGAAGGCCUUAUGGUUGUAAAGCACUUUAAGCGAGGAGGAGGCUACUUUAGUUAAUACCUAGAGAUAGUGGACGUUACUCGCAGAAUAAGCACCGGCUAACUCUGUG